rnacentral:rRNA from 1 species
GACGAACGCUGGCGGCGUGCCUAAUACAUGCAAGUGGGACGCAAGGGAACACACUGUGCUUGCACACCGUGUUUUCUUGAGUCGCGACCGGGUGAGUAACGCGUAGGUAACCUGCCUAUUAGCGUGGGAUAACUAUUGGAAACGAUAGCUAAUACCGCAUAAUAUUAAUUAUUGCAUGAUAAUUGAUUGAAAGAUGCAAGCGCAUCACUAGUAGAUGGACCUCGUUGUAUUAGCUAGUUGGUAAGUAAGAGCUUACCAAGGCGACGAUACAUAGCCGACCUGAGAGGGUGAUCGGCCACACUGGGACUGAGACACGGCCCAGACUCCUACGGGAGGCAGCAGUAGGGAAUCUUCGGCAAUGGACGAAAGUCUGACCGAGCAACUCCGCGUGAGUGAAGAAGGUUUUCGGAUCGUAAAGCUCUGUUGUAAGUCAAGAACGUGUGUGAGAGUGGAAAGUUCACACAGUGACGGAGCUACCAGAAAG